CUUAUCAGGAGUGACUGAGGGAACAGGCCCUGUGACGUCCGACAACCUGCCGUUUUUUUCGGUAAGGUGCCAAAUCCUGCGGCUUGACCGAAAGAUGAG
rnacentral:ncRNA from 1 species